rnacentral:rRNA from 1 species
CGCGGUAAUUUGACCGUGCUAAGGUAGCAUAAUCAUUUGUCUUUUAAUUGAAGACUGGAAUGAAAGGCGUAACAAGAAAUUUGCUGUCUUAAAAAAAUAAAUUGAAUUUUAUUUUUUAGUGAAAAAGCUAAAAUAGUUUUGUGGGACAAUAAAACCCUAUAAAUCUAAAUUAUUUUAAAAUGAUUAAUUUUUAAAUAUAAUUUUAUUGGGGCGAUAAUAAGAAAAAAUUAUCUCUGGAAAUUUUAAUAUACAAAUAAUUAAAUAAUAUUAUAAUCCUAAAAGAUGGAUUAUAAAAAUAAGUUACUUUAGGGAUAACAGCGAAAUAUUUUUUUAGAGUUCCUAUCGAAAAAAAUGUUUGCGACCUCGAUGUU